rnacentral:rRNA from 1 species
AGAGUUUGAUCCUGGCUCAGGAUGAACGCUAGCGGCAGGCUUAACACAUGCAAGUCGAGGGGUAUAGGUUUUCGGACCUAGAGACCGGCGCACGGGUGCGUAACGCGUAUGCAAUCUACCUUUCACAGAGGGAUAGCCCAGAGAAAUUUGGAUUAAUACCUCAUAGUAUAACACAACCGCAUGGUUGAGUUAUUAAAGUUCCAACGGUGAAAGAUGAGCAUGCGUCCCAUUAGCUAGAUGGUAAGGUAACGGCUUACCAUGGCCACGAUGGGUAGGGGUCCUGAGAGGGAGAUCCCCCACACUGGUACUGAGACACGGACCAGACUCCUACGGGAGGCAGCAGUGAGGAAUAUUGGUCAAUGGACGCAAGUCUGAACCAGCCAUGCCGCGUGCAGGAUGGCGGUCCUAUGGAUUGUAAACUGCUUUUGUACGAGAAGAAACACUCCUUCGUGAAGGAGCUUGACGGUAUCGUAAGAAUAAGGAUCGGCUAACUCCGUGCCAGCAGCCGCGGUAAUACGGAGGAUCCAAGCGUUAUCCGGAAUCAUUGGGUUUAAAGGGUCCGUAGGCGGUUUAGUAAGUCAGUGGUGAAAGCCCAUCGCUCAACGGUGGAACGGCCAUUGAUACUGCUAGACUUGAAUUAUUAGGAAGUAACUAGAAUAUGUAGUGUAGCGGUGAAAUGCUUAGAGAUUACAUGGAAUACCAAUUGCGAAGGCAGGUUACUACUAAUUGAUUGACGCUGAUGGACGAAAGCGUGGGGAGCGAACAGGAUUAGAUACCCUGGUAGUCCACGCCGUAAACGAUGGAUACUAGCUGUUGGGGGCAACUUCAGUGGCUAAGCGAAAGUGAUAAGUAUCCCACCUGGGGAGUACGAACGCAAGUUUGAAACUCAAAGGAAUUGACG